rnacentral:tRNA from 1 species
GUUUCCGUAGCUCAGUAGGAUAGAGUGACCGCCUCCUAAGCGGUAGGUCGUGGGUUCGAAUCCCGCCGGGAACACCA